UGACAAACUGCAGUAAUACAAUCUGAACAAAGAAGAAAAGAUGUGAGCUGAAUCCAACAGGAUGCAGGUUAACCAGUCCAACAGAAGCAGUUAAAGAUUCUCACGAAUAUUAAUGACAACAUGCUGCUGCUUUAAUAAAGGCCUGCUGACUUCAGAACCUGAACCAGAACCAGAACCUGGUU